GUGCUUGCUUCGGAAGCACACAUACUAAAAUUGGAACGAUACAGAGAAGACUAGCAUGGCCCCUGCGCACAAGGAUGACACGCAAAUUCGUGAAGCAUUCCAUAUUUUU
ensembl:snRNA U6 U6 spliceosomal RNA